AUGCGGAGCGGUGUUCAGUUCCCCGCGCUCAGCGGCCUGUGGUGCCAGUCUUGGGUUUGAAGUUCAGACCACAUUUCCUGGUGACUAGCGAUGAUUUGGGACUUCCCUUUCCUGGCUACUUGAUUGCUACAUUACUACAACCAACACCAGCUGAUUGUAUACUGCCAGACCCAGUAUUUUCUACAUCCACAACAGCGCCAAAGCAGC